UGCUGCUGUUUUGGAGACAAAUUCAAGCUCACAGAGAAACAGAUUUGUUCUUCUGGUCUCAUGCUCUAUCUCUUGUUUCCAAGCUCCUCUCCAAAGACACACGCCUCAGCGUCCCACCCUUCCCUCCUAGACGGGUACUUGCAGAACUCAUGCAACACCCUGUGUCGAGCUGGGGUGGACUCUUGAGCGACAUCUUUGGAUUGGGGCUCUGGCCUGAGUGUAUUAGCAGCCUGAAGCUAGAAUUCUUUAACCUUUAGAGUCAUGGAGAGCACUAGUUCACAAACCUGCUGGAGGGUUUUGUUGCCUGACAUCUUGUUAGAAGAUGAACGAGAAGCAUAGGCCUUUGCCAACAGUUGGAGGGUUAAAAGAAGAAAGAAAGCAAGGGGAAACCAUACAAGAGCAAGCUGAACAGGCAUUUACAGAAGAAGAAGAAGAGGAAGAGGAGGAAGAGGAGGAGGAGGAGGAGGAGGAAGAGGAGGAGGAGGAGGAAAAGAGGAGGCUGGAGAAAUAACUCAAAGUGACAGCUUCAAAGGCUGAUAAAUGCCCACAGCUGGAUCACUCCGGACCAGUGAGAUUUACUCCCGAGGCUUUGGUGUCUGUGUGGUGGAGCAUGCCAAUUCUCUCUUCUCGAUUCAUCUAAAGCUGGGAGGAAGUGAGACUGGAGAUGCAGUAGCCACAGCCUCAGGUGAAUGGGGAAAUGCAGCUACACACAAGUUACUCGUUUGUCAAGGAGGUGCAUUUUAUGACACAUAGAAGAUCAAAGAACUCCAUCAGUAUUUCUUCUGAAUUGGUAAGA